rnacentral:rRNA from 1 species
CCUANGGGGGGCUGCAGUGAGGAAUAUUGCGCAAUGGCCGAAAGGCUGACGCAGCGACGCCGCGUGAAGGAUGAAGUCCGUUAGGACGUAAACUUCUUUUACAGGGGAUGAAUGUUCCGGUUUCCGGAAUUGACCGUACCCUGCGAAUAAGGAUCGGCCAACUACGUGCCAGCAGCCGCGGUAAUACGGGCGGGGCGAGCGUUGUUCGGAUUUAUUGGGCGUAAAGAGCGCGUAGGCGGCUGUUUAAGUCUGGUGUGAAAACUCCACCGCUUAACGGGGAGCAUGCACUGGAAACUGGACAGCUUGAGACUGUGAGAGGUAAGCGGAAUUCCUGGUGUAGCGGUGAAAUGCGUAGAUAUCAGGAAGAACACCAGUGGCGAAGGCGGCUUACUGGCACUGUUCUGACGCUGAGGCGCGAAAGCGUGGGGAGCAAACAGGAUUAGAUACCCGGNUANUC